UACAGAGGGUGCGAGCGUUAAUCGGAAUUACUGGGCGUAAAGGGCUCGUAGGCGGGUAUUUAAGUCAGAUGUGAAAGCCUCAGGCUCAACCUGAGAACUGCAUUUGAAACUGGGUACCUAGAGUAUGGUAGAGGAAAGUGGAAUUUCCAGAGUAGCGGUGAAAUGCAUAGAUACUGGAAGGAACACCAGAGGCGAAGGCG
rnacentral:rRNA from 1 species